UAAAAAGUCGAUUUUGGUCGAAAGUCGACGUCGACUUUGCCAUCUUUAGUCUGUUCGUCGUUUGUGUUGUUUCAAUCGUUCUUGUUAUUUUUUAUCACUGCAAUUGUUGGAUUUCUUGAUAUUGGAGCUUAUCUUGGUGGAAUCAUAACACCUCUCGGAGAAUUUAUAUAUUCGAAAUUGACAUCAACUUCUCAAAGGCAUCUUACCUUAGGAAAAGUUAUCGGAUUUUUGUUUACGGCAUUCGCAGACAGAGCGCAUCCAUUUUUUCUUUAUUCGGCGGUGGUAAAAAAACUGAUACGCAUCUAUUAAUAUGAAGUGCGCUGUACUAUAUUGCAAGAGCUCUAUCAAAGACAGUACAAUAAAUUUUCAUAAAUUCCCAAACAACCAAGAGUUGUUCCAAAAAUGGGCGGACUUUUGCGAACAAGCAGUCGGCAGAAAUGCAAAAGUUUGUAGUGAACAUUUUCUGCCAGAUGAUUAUGAAGGAAGCUUAAAAGUUGAAAUGGGAUUCGGAAGAUGGCGCUACCUUAAAAAGGGUGCUGUACCGUCCGUUAAGAAAAAUCAGAUUGCAUCCUUAAUUACAGCCCUGAAAAAGCCAUGGCCAUCACAAAGUAGUACUCUACCACAGACUUCAACAAAAGCAGCAGCCAUUUCGCAUAAAACAUCAGAGGCUGAAACGCAGAACAAACCAUCUACCGCUGCGAAACCUGUAGUUAAGGUCGCAUAUAUUUUGCCAAAGGCUUUAAAUAAACCAGCAAAAGCUUUGUGCCACACCACGCCAGUAACAUAUGCUUCACCUACCAUUUCGUUGAUGACUGCACCCUCUCGUGACCUCAACUGUACAAUAGAUUACUUGGAAAACAAAGUUGAAACGGCAAAAAAAGAUGCAGAACUGAAAACGAAAUUUCUGGAAGAGAAAAUCGAAGCGCUAAAGACUGAAAAUCAACGUUUGCAACAAUGCUCGAAAUUGAGGCUAGAAGAAGCCACCCGUUUGGAACAGCAAAUUGUAACGCUAAGACAGGAUAAAUUUAAAUUAGAAUUGGCAUCAGUUAAAUAUGAAAAAGAAAAAGCUGCUUUGGAGAUGCGCGUUAAGAGAGCCGAGUUCGAGCAAAGAAAUUUGGAGCAGAAACUGCAAACGAUAUUCACUCCUAAACAGAUUAGAAUGAUAAAAAGUGGAAAGACCCAACGCUGGAAUGAAGAAGAUAUUAAGAUGUCCAUUAAACUAUAUAGGACUAGCCCCAAAAUGUAUAUUAUGCUAAAGGAAAAGAAUUAUCCGUUACCUGGUGUGCGCACCAUUCAAAUGUGGUGCCAAAUGAAGAAAAUUCAAAUCGAUGGAACUGAAGAUGACGCGGAUAAAGAAAUUCCAAGCAGUACCGUAAAAAAUGGAAAUCAAACAGAAGAACAGCCCGUUGAUGAUUUAGAUAAUGAAAUGAUUACAAAUGAUAUGUUUGAAAUUGAAAGGAUCGAUGAGAACGUUGAUGAGGCGACUGUGCAUGGUAGUACAGAAGAGGAAGAAAAUACUGCAGUAGAAAAGAUGUGUGAUGAUGGAGAUGAGGUGAGCAGUGACAUGGAUGCUGCUUUCAAGUUGAUAACUUAUGAUUCAGAUGAAACCAUAAGUGCUAUAGAAGAUGAACACGAUAUUACGGAUGCAAUUUCAUUUGAUCACACGGAUAAGGCAAAUGAAAAUAGUAUACUAACAGUCGAAAGUCCCGGUAUUGAGGUUCAAGAAUUCAUUAUUCCGUGAUGGCUGGAUGCUCUGGAGGUUAUGGAAAUUUCAAACAAGUAAAUGAAGAAAUAAAGCGGUUAAGACAUUAUAAAUGAUGAGGAAAUUUUAGGAGAUUUUUAUUUUUAUCAACUGAUUGAAUGAAACUUUAAUAAAUGUGGCGAUAUCUGCAUUUUAUAAAUAGGAUUUGCAAUUUCGACAGAAGUAUGUAAAAUGAGAAAUUCGCCAUUCGUAAAAUAUCCAUACAUAUGUAUAUUCGCUAAAUUAGAGCGAAUACUUUUUUAUGAGUUGAUAUAAUUAAAAAUAGAAAAAGAACUAAUGGAAAAUUGGUUGUAUUAUAUAAGCUAGAACUAUGUAUUUUAGAUAUACACACAUAAGUAUAUUAAUUUAUGCUUUUGUCCUUUUCACAGACUUAAUUUAAAUAUAUGCUGGCGUACUUUAGCGCACUUCAAGUCCAGGUUAUAUCGUACCUUUACUGCAGAAAUUUCAUUGGGGUUUCGAUUAUAAACAUAUCAUUUGAAGAAAAUGUGUGUUCGUUUUUACCAUGUGAGCCUUUGUAAACAGUGAAUUUUAAAGCCGUUUUUCUCGAGCUUCUGUUUUUUUUGUAUCAUGACAUUCUUGCAGCAGAGGUACCAUAUGCCGUUUCUAUUCUUAUAUUUAGUAUAGUAUCAUACUAAUUGGAGUUUAAAUUGAGAUGUUCAAACGUUUUAUGUACUGUGUAUGUUCAAUAAAUAAUUUCAUUUAAUUGGAAAAAUUUAUAAGUUAA
rnacentral:misc_RNA from 1 species